rnacentral:snRNA from 1 species
AUUGCUUCUCGGCCUUUUGGCUAAGAUCAAGUGUAGCAUUAAAAUGGAUUGAUCAUUUUUGAAGUCAAUAAUUUCUACAAAUCCUUU